UCUCUACUUUCCUUCUUUGUCCCGAAGAAAAACCCUGGCAAAACCAAUUUCACCAUAUUGUUCUUCCCUGCGAUGUUGCCUCUUCUUCUUUCCUCAACAUACUCACAUACAAGAUUUAGGGCAACAAUUGGAUAACUCACCACCACCGGCGAAAUACACUACAAUUUGCGACAUCACUACCACCGGCGACCUCACCACCACCGCUGGCGACUACAAAUUUUAGGUACUUCAAUUGAUCAAGGUGAGUCUCCCGAAUUUUAUGCUCAAAGAUACCCAGAAGAUCAUCCUGCAUUUGGAUUUUUCACUUGGAAGUGGGUUCUAACUCCCGGGUUCGACCACAUGUUCUCAUCGCCAAUUUUCUUGGGAACAUUGGCACUCUUGGCAUCAUCUCUAAUGGCCUAUACUUACACUACACAGAUUCCCUUGGUUAAGGUCGCACGAAGAUGGAAUUUUUUAAAGUCACCAGAGGCUGUUUACAAGCAUGAAUUUUCAGAAAAACUUCCCAGAGCCUCAGUUCAAGAUUUGGGUGUUGUUCUUAUGGAGGCUGGAUAUGAGGUAAAGUGGUGUUGUUUUGAUAGAUAAACUUUUGAGGUUUGGCUAGAAUACCUGGUUAUUAAAUGUGCUGAAUUUCUUUAUAUUUGAACAAAUUUGUCCUGUUCAAUAUGCACCAAGAUAUGAUUUCAUGGUUGUUAUAAAACAAAUUUCUGAAUUCCCAGUCUAAAAAAAGGAGCAAUUUCUAUAACUUGAGUCACCUUGACUAUGCACUCAAACCCUCUAAACUGAUAAGACUGCUUAAAAAAAAUUGUUAUCGUCUUUUAAGUGAAAGCAGCUUGUUAUGCACUCAAACCUGUGCAGUUGGUGAAGGAAAUAAUGCCCUUGGUCCAAGUAUACGCAUAUAAUAUUAAGUCUAAUAAAUGCGGUUCAGUAUUAAUUUACAAGUUAAUAAUUCAGUGAGAUCAAGUGAGCUGAAUGCCUAGCUAGAGGCCGCUUCAGUUCAAGUGGAAUUAAUUAUAUUAAUCCACAGCUUACUCUUGACUGAACCCGUAGGGUCACACAAAUAGUACGUAAACGGAUCAAGUAUUUAAUGGCAUUAAAUACUCCAUCUAUGGAUAUUCGGAAUCGACGGAUCUUGGUUUCA